rnacentral:rRNA from 1 species
UCCCUCGGUAACGGCGAGUGAAGAGGGAAGAGCCCAGCACCGAAGCCUGCGGCAGUUUUGCUGUUAGGCAAUGUGGUGUGCGGGUCGGCUAGCGGGAUCGUCACUCCACUCGAAGUCCAGCAUUGAGUAUGGUUAUCACUGGAUUUGGCCCAUAGAGGGUGAGAGGCCCGUACGAGUGGAGGUUCAGAUGUGUGCGACGAUUCACCAGGCCGACCUCAGAGUCGGGUUGUUUGAGAUUGCAGCCCAAAGUGGGUGGUAAACUCCAUCCAAGGCUAAAUACUGGCACGAGUCCGAUAGCGAACAAGUACCGUGAGGGAAAGUUGAAAAGUACUCUGAAGAGAGAGUAAACAGUACGUGAAGCCGCAUGCAGGUAAACGGGUGGCGUCAAGCUGCGAGCCCGGAGGAUUCAGCUGAUUAGGAUGUAGUGUACGCGCGCCUGGUGCGUCGAGAGACCGGAAUAAGAUGUUCCAUGGCGGUCCACUCCUCUAUUAGGAGUGGGGUGCUAUUGGUAUAGCAUGUGCUUGCACGUGCGUGCCGAUUGUCACUAUACAUGCCGGGUGGUUGCCGGAGUAUGCCGCUCAUCUGUUGGGUCACCUAAUCAGUGCAUUUUCUCCGUGGUGUACACCACGACCAGUGGAACUGCCAGUCUGCUGUUAUCAAGUCGUGUCCUUCUGGCCCCACCAUUUUUUUUUUCUCUCUCACUCUCUUAUAGCUAUUACUAUCUAUCUAUUAUCUCUCCUUUGUGGGGGUGGUAUUAGUGGAUGGUGAUUGUUAUGAGGGAUGAGGGGAGUGGAUGUGUGUGUGUGUGUUGGGUGGAUACGAUCGCAGAUGGAGCUAGUAGACGGCGUAGUGGUGCAUUUGUACUGCUGCGUGUUAUCGUUUACUCUUCAUUGUAAGCGAUUAAUGGAGCUGACUGAGUACUGUGACUACUUCUCCAUUAAUCGGCGGAUAGCAGCGGUAAAAAUGACCGUGCAGGGCACUGGAGUUAUCCACCUCAAUCAUUCCUCGAUUUAUUCAUUUUGCAUAGAUUUGCGUAGUUUUAGGACUACGUGAAUUUGUGUAUGGAUGAGUAAGUUGGGUGAGUGAAUAUGGUAUCCGACACGCAUGUUACAGGUGCUAUGUAAUCGGGGCACGCCGCUGUCUGCCUUGUGUUGGGCCUGACUGUCGUGUUGCCUGCGAAAAGUGGGUCCGGCAGUGGUUGUAUAUACUUGGCAUUGGCAGUAUGUAGCGUGUCCCGGGUGUAUGUGAUACCUAUUACUACUACUGCGGGGUGAAAUAGUCAGUGGUGCUGUGGUAGAUUAGCUACCCGACCCGUCUUGAAACACGGACCAAGGAGUUUAACAUGUGUGCGAGUCAAAGGGUCCUACGAAACCCCGAGGCGCAAUGAAAGUGAAGUUCAUGCUGUACUUAUGUACGUGCGCGGUACAGUAUGGCGAGGUGAGAUCUCCUUGUACUCAUGACACACGCCGCAGCAUACCUUACUGGGCAAUAAUAGGGGCAAGGAGCGCAUCACCGGCCCGUCGCAUGUUGUGGUCAUAGGUGUACUUGUAUGUGGAGAGGUGUAAUUGUAUAUAUAUAUGUAUAUGUAUGUGUGUGCUUGUCGCAUGCAUAUAUUAUGUAUAUAUGUGCAUUAUACUUGUAAGCGUACAAUGCCUAUGCGUCAGCGCGG